rnacentral:rRNA from 1 species
GACGAACGCUGGCGGCGUGCUUAACACAUGCAAGUCGAACGAUGAAGCGGGUGCUUGCACUCGUGGAUUAGUGGCGAACGGGCGAGUAACACGUGAGUAACCUGUCCUUUUCUUUGGGAUAACGGCUGGAAACGGCUGCUAAUACUGGAUAUUCAGGCUGCAUCGCAUGGUGUGGUUUGGAAAGGUUUUUUCUGGGAUUGGGUGGGCUCGCGGCCUAUCAGCUUGUUGGUGGGGUGAUGGCUUACCAAGGCUUUGACGGGUAGCCGGCCUGAGAGGGUGGUCGGUCGCACUGGGACUGAGAUACGGCCCAGAGUCCUACGGGAGGCAGCAGCUGGGAAGAUUGCACAAUGGACGAAAGUUUGAUGCAGCGACGCCGCGUGGAGGGUGUAGGCCUUCGGGUUGUGAACUCCUUUUUCUCGCGAAAAAGGCACAGUUUUGGCUGUGUUGAUGUUAGUGGGAGAAGAAGCGCCGGCUAACUACGUG